GUUUGGUCGGUAGGGAUACGCCUAGUGCUUGGGUCUUGGAUGUAUUGAGGGAGUAAUAGGACACCCUCCCAUAUUCCUUUAUCAGUUGCAUAACUGCUGGGAGUGUGGUGUGGAGAUGUGUCAGGUAGAGUAGAAUGUCAUCUGCAAAAGCUCCUACCUUAACCACUUUGUGGCCUAUCUUAACCCCAUGGAUUUCCUCAUUUGCUCUGAUCUCUUCCAACAAAGGUUCCAGGGCCAGGACGUAUAGCAAUGGGGAGAGUGGGCACCCUUGCCUCGUCCCAUUUGUGAUCUGAAAGGGAGAGGAGAGGAAUCCCGACUGGAGCACUUGCGCCGAAGGAUUCGCAUAGAGUGCGAAUAUUUGUCGGCACACCUGGAGCGGGAC